rnacentral:lncRNA from 1 species
CUCAUUCCACAUAAAUUUUAUUGUUAUUCAUGAUCUUUCACUCAACAACUUAAGCCACUUGUGGUAUAUUUGGUCAUUGAUAGUAUUUAUAUACUCUUUGAUCAAAUUCUUAGGAAUUUUGAUCCUUGUCACCAGAAUUCAUUAAUUAAAAGUAGAAUUUUUCACAAGGUAAGUGGUUCUGUUCAUUGUUCCAUACUUCUAGCCCAUAAGGGUUAUUAUGCGAGGGGACGCUCAUCUGCUGCAUUGUCUUUGUUGCCUCAAGUUGAUGCUUCUCCAAAUUUCCAAAGAGGAUAGAAAUAUUUUUUUUUAAAAAGCACGAGCUACCACCUCAAGGACUAACUUGACAACAUUAGUGAGGCUGUAAAGUAACAAGGAAAAAAGUAUUAAUGCCAUGAAGAAAAAGUACAAAGAAGCAGCAACUUGAGGAACCAAACACAAAACAGCAAUCUGUGGAAAUGCUGUUUCUUCCAUGUGUCUUUGAGAUGGGGUUUUUAGGAUUAUUUAUGGAAUUUAGGAGUAUCAAAUAUUUUAACUGGAUAGGUUUACUGUACCUUCUCAUUGAUAAUGACACUGCAGGCUGGAGCCACAAGUGUUUCAGUAUUACGAAGUGUAUGGCAGACUUUCUGGCUAAGUGAGAACUGGGAUAGCGAU